rnacentral:misc_RNA from 1 species
AGACGUCCGCCAUCUUGAAUCGUUGCCAUUCGUGUGUAUAUACCUCUACGUGAAAUAAUAAUCAAUUUUGGACGUUUUUAACCGUUUUUGAGUAAAUCCUAUCACUUCAGUUAAUCUACGGGUUAACGGAUUAUUAGAAAUCUUGUUGGAUCUGUAAAAUUUAGCAGAAAUCAGCGUUUAAAAAGAAAUCAGCCGUCCAUUGUUUAUGCUGCGUCUGAACUUGUUAAAUAACAAGUUUUUCCUUUCCGUAAGUAUUUCUUUAGUUUUAUAUUUGCACUCUAUUAAGAUAUAUUUUAAUUAAAUUAUCGAAUUAAAAUUUAUACAAAAAUCUGUUUGAUCUUGUGUUUUUAACAAGUGAGAUACAUUUCGUUAUUUGCUGAUGUAGAAACGUUUUUUAAUACUAGGGUGGUGUAAUCCCCUGCUAAUAAUUAUAUUAUAGAAAAAAUGUACAAAUCUUAUUAGUAUUCUGAUUUGUAACUUAUUGAAAGCAAAUACCAGUUGCAUAGACACCUGCCCUUUAAUUUUAUAUAUUUAUACUAUUCUAUUGAAUUCUUUUUGGUGAAGAUGCGAAUUCAAUACUAAGGUAGUUUAAAAUGGCUUUCUAAGGAUGCUUUAUAUCAUUCUGUAAGCUUAAUAUUACUGGUAGAGACGAGAAUUAAUCCACUACAAACAAACCAAUGUCAUCUUUGGGUAUAUUUGUUUAUUUGGAGGAUGAACGAAUGGGACGAGGAGGUGAUAAUUGUUGUAUUAUACUUAUAGACUAUUUUUAACAUUUUAAUUUAAUACGAAUCUGUAAGAUACCUUAAAUAUUUCAAGAUUGAUAGCAAGGGAAAGUUAGAUUUUUAGUAUUAAACUUGCUGUCAGUUCACGUGAAUUCCCUUUAAUAAAAAACACGUAUAAAAAAAUAAGAGUGAAAUUUCUUGUCACAAGAGUAGAAAUAAUUUCUUUAUAGCCUAUAUAAAGCACGGAGUAACAACAAAAAAUGGGUAUUUUAAAAGGAUCUUGCUUGAAUCUAAAUACUCUUUCUAUCAAUUUAUAAAGAUUCUACGAUUAUAUUUAUAGACGUAAUGUCUUUGUAUUGAAAAGAUCAAGAAGUUUUAUCCGGGUAUAAUAUUAAUCAUCUAGUGUUAUGAUUAAUGAAACAAUUCAGUUCACUCUGAAAUAUGAAUGGAAAAGACCUCUGUUUCCGGUUUAAAACCUGUCUUAAUAAAAUUCUAAAAGAUAGAUGUCAUUGGCAACUGGUAUUUGUAUAAAUAUAUAUAUAAGAUAGUAGUAUGUGUAGAACAAGAAUUCUUUUUUAAAGUCACUUAGUCAGAAGAGUGCUGGAUAAUGGAGGAAGUCUAGUCAAUUAAAUAAAUAAAAAAGAAUGAAUGCAAGGGAUAAGAGUCAAAUUCCGAUGCGUAAACUAAGCGUCGAUCUUAUACGUACUUAUAAGUAUAUAAAUGACGUUUAUUAUGCUGAAAGAGGAAAGAACAAGCAUAAACGACCGCCUGCCGGAAACGCUGGUUCUGGGGAUGGAGAAUCUAAGAAAAAUUGUGUGAGAGAAAGACCUCACCAUCAUCAUCAUCAAGGUCACGGAGGUCCAAAUAAUAAUGGAUACGACGAUGAAAAUUAUGAUUACAUAAUUAAACCUGGUGAACGAUGGAAUAAUGAUCGCUACGAAGUUGAAUCCACUAUAGGGAAAGGUUCUUUUGGUCAAGUGGUUAAGGCUUACGAUAGGGUGCAGCAAGAAUCCGUCGCCAUUAAAAUUAUUAAAAACAAAAAACCCUUCUUGAACCAGGCUCUCGUUGAAAUCAAACUUUUGGAAAUGAUGAACAAUUGCGAUAAGAAAAACCAGAAUUAUAUUGUUCGUUUAAAAUCAAAUUUUUACCAUCGCAAUCAUCUGUGCAUCGUCUUCGAACUCUUAUCAUAUAAUCUCUAUGAUUUGCUUAAGAACACUAACUUUCGAGGAGUUUCGUUAAAUUUAACUAGAAAGUUUGGUUUACAACUGUGUACGGCACUUCACUUUCUCUCACAAAACGAAUUAUCUAUAAUUCACUGCGAUUUAAAACCGGAAAAUAUUUUAUUGGUGAACCCUAAACGAUCGGCAAUUAAGCUAGUUGAUUUCGGGUCGUCUUGUCAAUUAAACGAAAGAGUCUACCAGUACAUCCAAUCAAGAUUUUAUCGUAGUCCCGAAAUUUUAUUAGGACUGCAGUAUGAUUUGGCUAUUGAUAUGUGGAGUGUUGGGUGUAUUUUAGUGGAAAUGCACACUGGCGAACCUUUAUUUCCGGGGUCAAAUGAACAGGAUCAGCUGUUCAAGAUAAUCGAGGUGCUAGGAAUGCCGCCGACUCAUAUGAUAGAAGCUUCCUCCAAGAGGGACAAAUUUUUCAUACAAACACCCGAUAAGCGGUAUAUACCGAACCACGACGCCAGUAAAUACAAGGCUCCUGGAUCAAGGCGGCUCGAAGAUAUCUUGGGUGUCAAUAAAGGUGGUCCAGGCGGAAGGCGACGGAAUGAUCCUGGUCAUACAGAAGCGGAUUAUAAGCGGUUUUUGGAUCUCAUUCAACGCAUGUUAAAAUAUGACCCGAAAACGCGAAUAACACCGUUCUAUGGCCUGCAACAUAACUUUUUUAAAAGAACUGUUGACGGUGCGACUAGUACAAGUCCACAAACGUCAAAGAUGCAACAACCACAACAAGAGCUAUCGCAACAGCUCAAGAUGGAGACAGAAUACGCCGUUUCGUUAAACUGAGUGGUUUUUAGAAGUCUUGCAGCUUUCUUUAUUUUUUUUUUCAAAAAAAAAGUAAGAAGCUGUAUUUUUUUCAGUGCGUGUGUCUUUUUAGAGAUGUUGCAGGAUUGAGAGUGUUUAAGUUAUUUUUAUUUUACUUUGAUGGUAUUCGUUUAUUAUUGCUUGUGAAUGGAUGGAAAUUAUCCUAAUAUAUUACCAAAUUUUGAUAGAUUUUUUUUUUUCAUUUUGUUAAAAAAGAAAAAACAUCUUAAAAGAAAUUUAAUUCAAUUUUUUUUUUCUUUCAGUUCUUUUUAUACCAGAUUUUUUUACGUUCAGAAUCGUUACCUUUUUUUUUUUUUUU